GACGAACGCUGGCGGCGUGCCUAAUUACAUGCAAGUCGAGCGAGCUGAAUUCACUGAUCUCUUCGGAGUGACGUGUUGGACGCUAGCGGCGGAUGGGUGGAGUAACACGUGGGCGAAUCUGCCCUAAAGACUGGGAUACCACUUGGAAACAGGUGCUAAUACCGGAUAACAAUGAUGGUUGCAUGACCAUUAUUUGAAAGGCGGCGCAAGCUGUCGCUUUAGGAUGAGCCCGCGGUGCAUUAGCUAGUUGGUGAGGUAACGGCUCACCAAGGCGAUGAUGCAUAGCCGAGUUGAGAGACUGAUCGGCCACAUUGGGACUGAGACACGGCCCAAACUCCUACGGAGGCAGCAGUAGGGAAUACUUCCAACAAUAGGACGCAAAGUCUGAUGGAGCAACGCCGCGUGAGUGAAGAAGGUUUUUCGGAUCGUAAAGCUCUGUUGUUGGUGAAGAAGGAUGUGAGUAGC
rnacentral:rRNA from 1 species